rnacentral:rRNA from 1 species
GACGAACGCUGGCGGCGUGCCUAAUACAUGCAAGUCGAACGCUUCUUUCCUCCCGAGUGCUUGCACUCAAUUGGAAAGAGGAGUGGCGGACGGGUGAGUAACACGUGGGUAACCUACCCAUCAGAGGGGGAUAACACUUGGAAACAGGUGCUAAUACCGCAUAACAGUUUAUGCCGCAUGGCAUAAGAGUGAAAGGCGCUUUCGGGUGUCGCUGAUGGAUGGACCGGCGGUGCAUUAGCUAGUUGGUGAGGUAACGGCUCACCAAGGCCACGAUGCAUAGCCGACCUGAGAGGGUGAUCGGCCACACUGGGACUGAGACACGGCCCAGACUCCUACGGGAGGCAGCAGUAGGGAAUCUGCGGCAAUGGACGAAAGUCUGACCGAGCAACGCCGCGUGAGUGAAGAAGGUUUUCGGAUCGUAAAACUCUGUUGUUAGAGAAGAACAAGGACGUUAGUAACUGAACGUCACCUGACGGUAUCUAACCAGAAAGCCACGGCUAACUACGUG